rnacentral:lncRNA from 1 species
CUUUUGAUCCUUGGAAUCAAAGAGAGACAUCUCAGCAAAGCAGCAGGAAUAGAGGAAGAGUUUGGAUGUAGAUCUGAAUCCUGGUUUAUGAACUUUUUCCACCUAGAUCUCAAGAACAUCAUCUGAAUCUCACCUGCAGAUCUGUACUAAAGGAUGAGCCAGAGACAGAAUCACUGGGAUCUGCUCUUUGAACUGGGCUCUGCAGAAAGAAAGUUGCAGAUAUUGAACUUCAAAGCAAGAGAUAACUGAGAGAAAUAAAUGUUCCAAAUGGUGGAGUGUAUUCUGUAAG